CGCGUGAGGAACCUGCCUCGGAGUGGGGAAUAACACAACGAAAGCUGUGCUAAUACCGCAUGAUACAGUUGGGUCGCAUGACUCUGACUGUCAAAGAUUUAUCGCUCUGAGAUGGCCUCGCGUCUGAUUAGCUAGUUGGUGGGGUAACGGCCCACCAAGGCGACGAUCAGUAGCCGGACUGAGAGGUUGACCGGCCACAUUGGGACUGAGACACGGCCCAGACUCCUACGGGAGGCAGCAUG
rnacentral:rRNA from 1 species